GGGUGCGUCGCAUAGCGGCAAUUGCUCCAGACUGUAAAUCUGGCGUCUCCGGACUUCGCAGGUUCGAGUCCUGCCGCACCCACAA
rnacentral:tRNA from 3 species